rnacentral:rRNA from 1 species
GACGAACGCUGGCGGCGUGCUUAACACAUGCAAGUCGAACGGAAAGGCCCUGCUUUUGUGGGGUGCUCGAGUGGCGAACGGGUGAGUAACACGUGAGUAACCUGCCCUUGACUUUGGGAUAACUUCAGGAAACUGGGGCUAAUACCCGAUAGGAGCUCCUGCUGCACGGUGGGGGUUGGAAAGUUUCGGCGGUUGGGGAUGGACUCGCGGCUUAUCAGCUUGUUGGUGGGGUAGUGGCUUACCAAGGCUUUGACGGGUAGCCGGCCUGAGAGGGUGACCGGCCACAUUGGGACUGAGAUACGGCCCAGAAUCCUACGGGAGGCAGCAGUGGGGAAUAUUGCACAAUGGGCGGAAGCCUGAUGCAGCAACGCCGCGUGCGGGAUGACGGCCUUCGGGUUGUAAACCGCUUUCGACUGUGACGAAGCGUGAGUGACGGUAAUGGGUAAAGAAGCACCGGCUAACUACGUG